CGGGACGAGUGAGGGAGUCCGAACCGGAGUAGCCGACGCUGGCAGGAAGCAGACGGUUUCCGCCGGUGCCGACGUCGACGGUCCGGGCUGAGAGGCCGGAAGGCAGCAGCAGGGCCGGAAGGCGACCCCCAGAACCUGAUCCGGACAAUACCGGCGAAGGGAACCCGUCUCGUAGGUUU
rnacentral:ncRNA from 1 species